GACGAACGCUGGCGGCGUGCCUAAUACAUGCAAGUAGAACGCUGAAGAGAGGAGCUUGCUCUUCUUGGAUGAGUUGCGAACGGGUGAGUAACGCGUAGGUAACCUGCCUUGUAGCGGGGGAUAACUAUUGGAAACGAUAGCUAAUACCGCAUAACAAUGGAUGACACAUGUCAUUUAUUUGAAAGGGGCAAUUGCUCCACUACAAGAUGGACCUGCGUUGUAUUAGCUAGUAGGUGAGGUAAUGGCUCACCUAGGCGACGAUACAUAGCCGACCUGAGAGGGUGAUCGGCCACACUGGGACUGAGACACGGCCCAGACUCCUACGGGAGGCAGCAGUAGGGAAUCUUCGGCAAUGGGGGCAACCCUGACCGAGCAACGCCGCGUGAGUGAAGAAGGUUUUCGGAUCGUAAAGCUCUGUUGUAAGUCAAGAACGGGUGUGAGAGUGGGAAGUUCACACUGUGACGGUAGCUUACCAGAAAGGGACGGCUAACUACGUG
rnacentral:rRNA from 1 species